CUUCAGCGAGCCGAGCAGCAGCGGCUGCCCGUCGGCGCGGCCCUGGCCGUAGGUGGCCAGCAGGGCCUGGGCCUC
rfam:Kitasatospora setae KM-6054 DNA, complete genome.